rnacentral:rRNA from 1 species
AUUGAACGCUGGCGGCAGGCCUAACACAUGCAAGUCGAGCGGAGCGGCGGACGGGUGAGUAAUGCCUAGGAAUCUGCCUGGUAGAGGGGGAUAACGUCCGGAAACGGGCGCUAAUACCGCAUACUAUUAGCUGAGACUAGGGCGAAUUAGCUAGCUGGUGGGGUAAAGGCGUACCAGGGCGACGAUCCGUAGCUGGUCUGAGAGGAUGAUCAGUCACACUGGAACUGAGACACGGUCCAGACUCCUACGGGAGGCAGCAGUGGGGAAUAUUGCACAAUGGGCGAAAGCCUGAUGCAGCAAUGCCGCGUGUGUGAAGAAGGUCUUCGGAUUGUAAAGCACUUUAAGUUGGGAGGCGUUACCAACAGAAUAAGCACCGGCUAACUACGUGCCAGCAGCCGCGGUAAUUC